rnacentral:rRNA from 1 species
GAUGAACGCUGGCGGCGUGCCUAAUACAUGCAAGUCGAGCGAACAGACGAGGAGCUUGCUCCUCUGACGUUAGCGGCGGACGGGUGAGUAACACGUGGAUAACCUACCUAUAAGACUGGGAUAACUUCGGGAAACCGGAGCUAAUACCGGAUAAUAUAUUGAACCGCAUGGUUCAAUAGUGAAAGACGGUUUUGCUGUCACUUAUAGAUGGAUCCGCGCCGCAUUAGCUAGUUGGUAAGGUAACGGCUUACCAAGGCAACGAUGCCUAGCCGACCUGAGAGGGUGAUUGGCCACGCUGGAAGUGAGAAGCGGUUCAGAGCCAGUCGUGAGGCAGGCGUAGGGAAUCUUCCGCAAUGGGUGACAGCCUGACGGAGCAGCUCCGCGACAGUCAUGAAGGUAUUCGCAUCGUAAAACUCUGUUAUUAUGGAAGAACAAAUGUGUAAGUAACUAUGCACGUCUUGACGGUACUUAAUCAGAAAGCCGGGGGUAACCCCGUG